rnacentral:lncRNA from 1 species
CAAAUCACGAAGCAAUGGUGAAGUGAACAGUGUGAUGGAAUAUUUUUUAUAAAUGGUUCUUUAUUAAUCAUCGGCUUCCAAAUAAACAAACUCAAAGAUUCAAACCUUUUUGUAUGCAUCUACAAAAAAAAAACAGAAAAGCAAAACCAAUUCUCCAUCCAUUGCUUUUUCGAAUCAUUGGUUUUUGGGAAGGAAAAAAAAGUGUCCGCUUCUUGAUCUUUGUGAAUCCAUAAACUAAAAGCGUCCAUCUGCACGUAUCCACCUGCGCUCUCAGUGUGUGGUGUGUGCCGUUGUUACCAUCUGACCAUGCAGAUUGACCCCAUUCCAUACACAUACACACACCUCUCAAACAGGAUGUACAAAAGCUUGUGUUUAGCAUCAAAACAGUGCAGGGCCCUAACAAACAGUAAAGGCUCCUUUCCUCUCCCCAUUCUCCCUCCCUAUCCCCAUCUCUCCUCCCCCAGGUGUGCAUUUACAUCACUGAAAGGAAGGGCCAAUUUCAUCUACAAAGUGACAGGAGAACAGAGCAGGGGAAAGGAAAGACAAACACAAUACAACAAACCUCUCUUUCAGACACACGCACGAACAUACAUACACUGAUUAAGUUAAAUAAACAACAAGGCAGCUUAUAUUUUGUUCUGUCAGAUUUGUGAAGAAAAAAAAAGUCAUUUGGCUUUACUUUCCCUUCCGUGUUCUAGCUAGUUAGUUCAAGCUAGAUAGCCAAUGUUAGUUAGCAGGCUACGUUAGCUGGCAAUGGCUAACAAACCAAGCUACCCGCUUUAGUGACAGCUAGCCAAUAAUAAAUUAUGCAAAUAUGAAAUGUUAACAUAUAAUAAACCUUUGAUUUGACAGAAGUCUUCCAGUGUAGGUUCAGGGUAUUCAUGAGCCCCUAAUGUUUCAAAGAGAUGUAGGAGAGAGAGUACUGUAUGCAGAGAGGUUCCAGAGGUGCUGGACACUCCAUUAGCAAACAUAGUCCUAUGUGUCCAUAAACUUUUGAAUGUACUCAUCUCAUGUGUAUAUACUGUUUUCUAUACUAUUCUACUGUAUCUCAUUCACUUAAUAAUGCUUACAUAUCUUGCAUUACUCAUCUCAUAUGUAUAUACUGUUUUUCUAUACUAUUCUACUGUAUCUUAGUCUGUUCCGCUCUGACAUUGCUCGUCCAUUUGUAUACAGCCUUAAUUCAUUCCUACUUAGAUUUGUGUGUAUUGGGUAUAUGUUGUGUAAUUUGUUAGAUAUUACUUGUUAGAUAUUACUGCACUGUCGGAGCUAGAAGCACAAGCAUUUCGCUACACCCG